GAUCCUGGCUCAGGAUGAACGCUGGCGGCGUGCUUAACACAUGCAAGUCGAACGGGAAAUACUUUAUUGAAACUUCGGUGGAUUUAAUUUAUUUCUAGUGGCGGACGGGUGAGUAACGCGUGGGUAACCUGCCUUAUACCGGGGGAUAACAGCCAGAAAUGACUGCUAAUACCGCAUAAGCGCACAGAACCGCAUGGUUCGGUGUGAAAAACUCCGGUGGUAUAAGAUGGACCCGCGUUGGAUUAGCUAGUUGGCAGGG
rnacentral:rRNA from 1 species